GACGAACGCUGGCGGCGUGCCUAAUACAUGCAAGUAGAACGCUGAAGGAGGAGCUUGCUUCUCUGGAUGAGUUGCGAACGGGUGAGUAACGCGUAGGUAACCUGCCUGGUAGCGGGGGAUAACUCUUGGAAACGAUAGCUAAUACCGCAUAAUAUUGACUAUUGCAUGAUAGUCAGUUGAAAGGUGCAACUGCACCACUACCAGAUGGACCUGCGUUGUAUUAGCUAGUUGGUGGGGUAACGGCUCACCAAGGCGACGAUACAUAGCCGACCUGAGAGGGUGAUCGGCCACACUGGGACUGAGACACGGCCCAGACUCCUACGGGAGGCAGCAGUAGGGAAUCUUCGGCAAUGGACGGAAGUCUGACCGAGCAACGCCGCGUGAGGGAAGAAGGUUUUCGGGUCGUAAAGCUCUGUUGUAAGAGAAGAACGAGUGUGAGAGUGGAAAGCUCACACUGUGACGGUAUCUUACCAGAAAGGGACGGCUAACUACGUG
rnacentral:rRNA from 1 species